rnacentral:rRNA from 1 species
GACGAACGCUGGCGGCGUGCCUAAUACAUGCAAGUCGAGCGGGGCUGUUUGCUGGAAGCCUUCGGGCGGAAAGCUUGCAGCCUAGCGGCGGACGGGUGAGUAACGCGUGGGUAACCUGUCCUGAAGUACGGGAUAACAGUUCGAAAGGGCUGCUAAUACCGUAUGUGGUCAAGGGGAGUUCGCUUUCUUUGACUAAAGGUGAAAACCGCUUCAGGGUGGGCCCGCGUCCCAUUAGCUAGUUGGUAGGGUAAUGGCCUACCAAGGCGACGAUGGGUAGCCGGCCUGAGAGGGUGACCGGCCACACUGGGACUGAGACACGGCCCAGACUCCUACGGGAGGCAGCAGUAGGGAAUCUUGCGCAAUGGGGGAAACCCUGACGCAGCGACGCCGCGUGAGUGAAGAAGGCCUUCGGGUCGUAAAGCUCUGUCCUCCGGGAAGAUAAUGACGGUACCGGAGGAGGAAGCCCCGGCUAACUACGUG